CGGUAAGGCCUUUCGGGGUACACGAGCGGCGAACGGGUGAGUAACACGUGGGUGAUCUGCCCUGCACUCUGGGAUAAGCUUGGGAAACUGGGUCUAAUACCGGAUAUGACCACAGCAUGCAUGUGUUGUGGUGGAAAGAUUUAUCGGUGCAGGAUGGGCCCGCGGCCUAUCAGCUUGUUGGUGGGGUAAUGGCCUACCAAGGCGACGACGGGUAGCCGACCUGAGAGGGUGACCGGCCACACUGGGACUGAGACACGGCCCAGACUCCUACGGGAGGCAGCAGUGGGGAAUAUUGCACAAUGGGCGGAAGCCUGAUGCAGCGACGCCGCGUGAGGGAUGAAGGCCUUCGGGUUGUAAACCUCUUUCAGCAGGGACGAAGCGUGAGUGACGGUACCUGCAGAAGAAGCACCGGCUAACUACGUGCCAGCAGCCGCGGUAAUACGUAGGGUGCGAGCGUUGUCCGGAAUUACUGGGCGUAAAGAGUUCGUAGGCGGUUUGUCGCGUCGUUUGUGAAAACCCGGGGCUCAACUUCGGGCUUGCAGGCGAUACGGGCAGACUUGAGUGUUUCAGGGGAGACUGGAAUUCCUGGUGUAGCGGUGAAAUGCGCAGAUUUCAGGAGGAACACCGGUGGCGAAGGCGGGUCUCUGGGAAACAACUGACGCUGAGAACGAAAGCGUGGGUAGCAAACAGGAUUAGAU
rnacentral:rRNA from 1 species